GAUGAAGAACGCAGUGAAAUGCGAUAAGUAGUGUGAAUUGCAGAAUUCAGUGAAUCAUCGAAUCUUUGAACGCACAUUGCGCCCCUUGGUAUUCCAUGGGGCAUGCCUGUUCGAGCGUCAUUUGUACCUUCAAGCUCUGCUUGGUGUUGGGUGUUUGUCUCGCCUCUGCGUGUAGACUCGCCUCAAAACAAUUGGCAGCCGGCAUAUUGAUUUCGGAGCGCAGUACAUCUCGCGCUUUGCACUCAUAACGACGACGUCCAAAAGUACAUUUUUACACUCUUGACCUCGGAUCAGGUAGGGAUACCCGCUGAACUUAAGCAUAUCAAUAAGCGGAGA
rnacentral:misc_RNA from 1 species